rnacentral:tRNA from 1 species
AAUGAAGUGCCUGAAAAAGGAUUAUUUUGAUAGAAUAAAUCAUGUAUGCAAUUACCUUCAUUA